rnacentral:rRNA from 1 species
CCUACGGGUGGCAGCAGUGGGGGAUAUUGCACAAUGGGGGAAACCCUGAUGCAGCGACGCCGCGUGUGGGAAGACGGUCUUCUGGAUUGUACACCACUGUCUCCAGGGACGAAAAUGACGGUACCUGGGGUGGAAGCUCCGGCUAACUACGUGCCAGCCGCCGCGGUAAUACGUAGGGAGCAAGCGUUGUCCGGAAUUACUGGGUGUAAAGGGAGCGUAGGCGGGGAUUCAAGUUGGGUGUCAAAACUACCGGCUCAACCGAUAGUCGCACUCAAAACUGCAACUCUUGAGUGAAGUAGAGGCAGGCGGAAUUCCUAGUGUAGCGGUGAAAUGCGUAGAUAUUAGGAGGAACACCAGUGGCGAAGGCGGCCUGCUGGGCUUUUACUGACGCUGAGGCUCGAAAGUGUGGGGAGCAAACAGGAUUAGAUACCCGAGUAGUC